rnacentral:rRNA from 1 species
UACGGGGGGGGUAAGCGUUGUUCGGAAUUACUGGGCGUAAAGGGCUCGUAGGCGGCCAACUAAGUCAGACGUGAAAUCCCUCAGCUUAACUGGGGAACUGCGUCUGAUACUGGAUGGCUUGGAUUCGGGAGAGGAAUGCGGAAUUCCAGGUGUAGCGGUGAAAUGCGCAGAUAUCAGGAGGAACACCGGUGGCGAAGGCGGUUCUCUGGGCAUUACCUGACGCUGAGGAGCGAAAGUGUGGGGAGCGAACAGG